AAUACGGCAAGCACUGGAUUCUG
rnacentral:piRNA from 1 species